rnacentral:rRNA from 1 species
GACAGAGGGUGCAAACGUUGUUCGGAAUUACUGGGCGUAAAGCGUGUGUAGGCGGCCAUAUAAGUCGGAUGUGAAAGCCCUGGGCUCAACCCAGGAAGUGCACUCGAUACUGUAUGGCUUGAGUACUGGAGAGGUUGGUGGAAUUCUCGGUGUAGAGGUGAAAUUCGUAGAUAUCGAGAGGAACACCGGUGGCGAAGGCGGCCAACUGGACAGAUACUGACGCUGAGACGCGAAAGCGUGGGGAGCGAACCGG